AUUGAACGCUGGCGGCAGGCCUAAUACAUGCAAGUCGAACGAGUGGCGGACGGGUGAGUAACGUCUGGGAAAUUGCCUGAUGGCGGGGGAUAACUACUGGAAAAGGUAGCUAAUACCGCAUACCUUCGGAUUUUCCAUGAUGGGAUUCGCCAGUAGGUGGGGUAACGGCUCACCUAGGCGACGAUCCAUAGCUGGUCGGAGAGGAUGACAGGCCACACUGGAACUGAGACACGGUCCAGACUCCUACGGGAGGCAGCAGUGGGGAAUAUUGCACAAUGGGCGAAAGCCUGAUGCAGCCAUGCCGCGUGUGUGAAGAAGGCCUUCGGGUUGUAAAGUACUUUCAGCGGGGAGGCGUUACCCGCAGAAGAAGCACCGGCUAACUCCGUGCCAGCAGCCGCGGUAAUUC
rnacentral:rRNA from 1 species